rnacentral:rRNA from 1 species
AGCAGCCGCGGUAAUUCCAGCUCCAAUAGCGUAUAUUAAAGUUGGUGCAGUUAAAAAGCUCGUAGUUGAAUUUCGGGAUCAGUUGAUCGGUCGUGCCUCGGUACGUACUGGUCAAAUUGAUUCCUACCUUCUGACGAACCACGAUGUCAUUAAUUUGGUGUCGUGGGAAAUCAGGACUGUUACUUUGAAAAAAUUAGAGUGUUUAAAGCAGGCUCGUGCUUGAAUACAUUAGCAUGGAAUAAUGAAAUAGGACGUUUGAUUCUAUUUUGUUGGUUUCUAGGAUCGACGUAAUGAUUAAUAGGGAUAGUUGGGGGCAUUAGUAUUCAAUUGUCAGAGGUGAAAUUCUUGGAUUUAUUGAAGACUAACUACUGCGAAAGCAUUUGCCAAGGAUGUUUUCAUUAAUCAAGAACGAAAGUUAGGGGAUCGAAGACGAUCAGAUACCGUCGUAGUCUUAACCAUAAACUAUGCCGACUGGGGAUCGGAUGAUGUUAAUUUUUAAUGACUCAUUCGGCGCCUUAAC